GAUGAACGCUGGCGGCGUGCCUAAUACAUGCAAGUCGAGCGAACAGACGAGGAGCUUGCUCCUCUGACGUUAGCGGCGGACGGGUGAGUAACACGUGGAUAACCUACCUAUAAGACUGGGAUAACUUCGGGAAACCGGAGCUAAUACCGGAUAAUAUAUUGAACCGCAUGGUUCAAUAGUGAAAGACGGUCUUGCUGUCACUUAUAGAUGGAUCCGCGCCGCAUUAGCUAGUUGGUAAGGUAACGGCUUACCAAGGCAACGAUGCGUAGCCGACCUGAGAGGGUGAUCGGCCACACUGGAACUGAGACACGGUCCAGACUCCUACGGGAGGCAGCAGUAUGGAAUCUUCCGCAAUGGGCGAAAGCCUGACGGAGCAACGCCGCGUGAAUGAUGAAGGUCUUCGGAUCGUAAAACUCUGUUAUUAGGGAAGAACAAAUGUGUAAGUAACUGUGCACGUCUUGACGGUACCUAAUCAGAAAGCCACGGCUAACUACGUG
rnacentral:rRNA from 1 species